UAUUUUAAUUUUGUCAUAUUUUUCUCCGUUAAUAGCCCUGUUCCGGCGUGUGUUGACAGCGACUGUCAUUGGAACACCGUGGAGUGGAGUGACCGCAGCUGCUUUACGAACUCAACUUAACUUAAACUCCAGACCUAGAAGGACCAAUAAAAGCUAUAGCAUAUCCUGUUUAACACAUCAAGGUUUCAUACUAUGAUGCACGUGGGUAAGUCAAAUUAUGCCAUUCGUUUUGCAGCUACCUAUGUGUUGAAGAUCUAGGUGCGUAUCUACCAAAUGUAUAUCAAUCUACUUACUACCGCAUAAGGUCUGUCGACUGUAGGUGCACAACAUUAAUUGUACUUAACUAGUAAUAAAACAAACAUUGUGGAAGAAUAAAAUAAAAAUGUAUUCUAUUACGUAAAAUAAAGGUAACAUUUCUUGUA